rnacentral:rRNA from 1 species
CCUACGGGAGGCAGCAGUGAGGAAUAUUGGUCAAUGGACGAGAGUCUGAACCAGCCAAGUAGCGUGAAGGAUGACUGCCCUAUGGGUUGUAAACUUCUUUUAUAUAGGAAUAAAACGAGGCACGUGUGCGUUUUUGUAUGUACCUUAUGAAUAAGGAUCGGCUAACUCCGUGCCAGCAGCCGCGGUAAUACGGAGGAUCCGAGCGUUAUCCGGAUUUAUUGGGUUUAAAGGGAGCGUAGAUGAGUUGUUAAGUCAGUUGUGAAAGUUUGCGGCUCAACCGUAAAAUUGCAAUUGAUACUGGCAGUCUUGAGUACAGUUGAGGUGGGCGGAAUUCGUGGUGUAGCGUUGAAAUGCUUAGAUAUCACGAAGAACCCCGAUUGCGAAGGCAGCUUACUAAACUGUAACUGACAUUGAUGCUCGAAAGUGUGGGUAUCAAACAGGAUUAGAUACCCGUGUAGUC